rnacentral:rRNA from 1 species
GACUAAGCGUACACGGUGGAUGCCCUGGCAGUCAGAGGCGAUGAAGGACGUGCUAAUCUGCGAAAAGCGUCGGUAAGGUGAUAUGAACCGUUACAGCCGGCGAUGUCCGAAUGGGGAAACCCAGUGUGAUUCGUCACACUAUCGUUAACUGAAUACAUAGGUUAACGAGGCGAACCGGGGGAACUGAAACAUCUAAGUACCCCGAGGAAAAGAAAUCAACCGA